rnacentral:rRNA from 1 species
GACAGAGGUGCCAAGCGUUAGGCGGAAUCACUGGGCUUAAAGCGUGUGUAGGCGGAUCGUUAAGUGCCUUGUGAAAUCCCACGGCUUAACCGUGGAACUGCUCGGCAUACUGGCGGUCUUGAGCAACCUAGGGGCGAGCGGAACAAAUGGUGGAGCGGUGAAAUGCGUAGAUAUCAUUUGGAACGCCAAUGGUGAAAACAGCUCGCUGGGGGUUUGCUGACGCUGAGGCGCGAAAGCGUGGGGAGCAAACAGG